rnacentral:lncRNA from 1 species
AGCAGGAGUUGCAGAAGGAUGAAGGAAAACAGAGAGGCAUUUAUUCCUCCCCUCUCUUCACACUUGCUUCUCAGUAGUUUGUCCACAAUCAAAUUUCUGAUUAGGCACAGGUAUAGGGAAUGGCAGUUGGAUUGAUAUGAGAAACACUUGAAGCAGAACCGAGACCCUCUACUCAAGGCCAUCCUGGACCAGCCUGCCCCAGGCAGUUCUCUAGCUAACUGCAGCACUUGAGAAGCUCAGUUCUGACCAGCAGUUCUGAUCCAAACAAUAGAACUUUCUGGCUAGUAUGUAAAUUUAUGAGAAAAAAAAG